UACGUAGGUGGCGAGCGUUGUCCGGAUUUACUGGGCGUAAAGGGCGUGCAGGCGGUCUGCUAAGUCUAGGGUGAAAGCUCCCGGCUCAACUGGGAGAGGUCCUUGGAUACUGACAGACUUGAGGGAGGCAGAGGAGAAUGGAAUUCCCGGUGUAGUGGUGAUAUGCGUAGAUAUCGGGAGGAACACCAGUGGCGAAGGCGGUUCUCUGGGCAGUAACUGACGCUGAGGAGCGAAAGCGUGGGGAGCGAACAGG
rnacentral:rRNA from 1 species